GUCCUCGUAGUUAAAUGGAUAUAACCGCCCCCUCCUAAGGGGCAAUUAGUGGUUCGAUUCCACUCGAGGACACCA
rnacentral:tRNA from 1 species